UACGUAGGGUGCGAGCGUUGUCCGGAAUUAUUGGGCGUAAAGAGCUUGUAGGCGGUUUGUCGCGUCUGCUGUGAAAUUUCGGGGCUCAACCCCGAACUUGCAGUGGGUACGGGCAGACUAGAGUGUGGUAGGGGAGACGUGGAAUUCCUGGUGUAGCGGUGAAAUGCGCAGUAUAUCAGGAGGAACACCGAUGGCGAAGGCAGGUCUCUGGGCCAACUACUGACGUGAGAAGCGAAAGCAUGGGGGAGCGAACAGG
rnacentral:rRNA from 1 species